UCUCAAGGAUCCCUGUUUACGAGACGGCGCGUCAUAAUAUCAUCACGAUGUUCUUCAUAAAAGACCUGGCGCUGGUCGACCCUGAUGAUAACAUACCCUUGAAGACGUUGUGCCAGUUCUAUGAAAACCCCUGCUACUUUGUCUUCGAAGACACCACGCUCGAUAUACUGUUCAAGCAGUUCAAGGAAGGAAACAGAGGUCAUAUGGCAUUCGUACACCGCGUGAAUUCUGAAGGAGACGGCGAUCCUUUCUAUGAAACCGUUGGUAUCAUAACUCUGGAGGAUGUCAUUGAGGAAAUAAUUCAGGCGGAAAUUAUGGACGAAACAGAUGUUUGGACCGAUAACAGGUCUAAACACAGGCGGGGCUCUAGAAGGAACCCAAAACAAGAUUUUACAAAGUUUGCCGAGCGAAGCGAGAUCCAGCGAAUUCAUAUUUCGCCGCAACUCACGUUGGCUACAUUCCAGUACUUGAACACUUCUUGCGAGCCGUUCAAGUCGGAAUUCAUCUCGGAAUCAGUCCUGAGUCGUCUCCUGCGGCAGGACAUCAUCCACCAGAUCAAGGUGCGUAAGGACAAGUCGCGAAAGGACGACCCACACCUGGUGAUCUACCAGCAGGGCAGACCGGUCGACUUCUUCAUCCUGAUCCUGGAGGGGAGGGUGGAGGUGACCGUGGGCAGGGAGAACCUCAUCUUCGAGAGUGGGCCGUUCACCUACUUUGGACUGCAGGCGCUCACGCAGACUGUUGGCGUUGCUGAAUCACCGACUGGUACGGCCACCUCACACAGCCAAUCCCAGCAGCUGGGCAGCUUGCAGAGUGUGAACCUGGACUUGAUGCUGCGUCACUCGUUUGUGCCGGAUUACACCGUACGCGCAGUGACGGACAUCUUCUAUUUGCGCGUGCGCCGCUCGCUCUACCUGGCCGCCAAACGUGCCACCCUCAUGGAGCGCUGCAAGAAGAACGAGGAAGUCGUCAGCAGCGGCGAUGUAUUUGACGAUGAGGUCGAGAAACUUCUUCAUUCCCUAGACGAUGAUGAUACUAGAAGCCAAGGCUCACCGGAACAAGUUCGCACCAGAACCCAGGGUCAGUCGUCAGGCCACACCAGUCCAAGCUCCUCUCAACGGCCCGGGUCGGAGCCAACUAACAACGGUCACCUGUUGACAGCCGCUUCAGAGCCAAUUCUCGGCCUGUCUCCGUCGCGCACCCCACCGCGCAUCCCCACUGCGCAUCGCAAUGCCGCGCAUGCGCCGAACAUUGAUCCCGAACGCACCUCGCUGCUGGGUGGGUCCAACGCUUCCCCCACCCCGCCCACUCCUCCCAGUCCGCCGCCGUCAUAGCAGUCAGCUGACAAUAGUGCCAUGUCAGCGGAAAGUCAGUGAAGUACCGGAACCUGAAGUAAUCUUGGUUAGGUUAGGUUAGCGAGCUGUAAUCUUAUGAUAGUGCUGUGUCAACGGAAAUUUAGUGAAGUAACCCAAAGUGAUCUUGGUUAGGUUAGGUUUACAAACUGUUAACUGGUAAUAGUGCUGUGCCAGCAGAAAUUCAGUGAAAUAACCUAAAGUAAUCUUGGUUAGGUUAGGUUAGAGAACUGAAAUCUGGUAACAGUGCUGUGUCAGCAGAAAUUCAGUGAUGUAACCUACAGUAAUCUUGGUUAGGUUAGCAAACUAUAAUCUGAUAAUAGUGUAUCAUCAGCAGAAAUUCGCCAUCUUGGUUGGGUUAGGUUUGCAAAUGAUAAUGCAGUCCUGAUGGAACAGAGCAUGAAGUAAUCCAAAGAAUUCUGGUAAGGUUAGGUUUGGUUAGGAAACAGUAUGUUUGGUGGAUUGGAGGGCAAAGUAAUCUAAAUAAUGACCUUUGUCAGGCUACAUUAUAAAAUGCUUCUCAAUUUCCCGAAAUUGACUCUUCCCUUUCGAAUUUUCUAAAUUCAGUCUUUUCUGAAAAAGACUAUUGCUUUUUUCUCACUACAAUAACUGCAAUUCACCAAAAAGUAAUUUAGUGUCAUCUUUAUCCUGUUUUCAUCAGCUUCGUUUUUGAAGCAAUAAACAUUUAAUAAUCCAACACAAACUAACCUAACUUAACCAUAUCAAGUUGGAUAGUUCUCCUCAUUUGGUCAAAAUAGAUGUAUUGUCAUUUCCAUGAUGUAAUCUGCUUUCUUAUUGAAGCAGCCCAUACAGUAACCUAACCUAACUAGAUCAAGUUGAAUAGUUCUCCUCAAUAUUGAUUGAAAAUAUUGUAUUGUCAUUUCCACUGUGUCGUCUGCUUUUGUAUUGAAGCAGGUAAUUCAGUAACCUAACCUAACCAAGGCUGCUUUAGCGUGUUCAACCUUGGUUCGUUUAGGUCAGGUUAGGUAAUGUUCCUUGGAAAGUUUGACUGCACUGGACAGCUUAAUUACUUAAAUAGUUUACCCCUAACUUGAAAUAGUAUAAUUUGUUAAAAUCUAUACUAUAGUAUAAUGGUAAAAUCUUAAAUAGUAUUACCAUCUAUGCUUGUAGAUAGUUUAUCACUAUGCAUUAUUUCACACUAUUUGUUAUAUUGUUAGGUUAGGUUGCAGAUCAGUCGUUUGGUCUCUUUAAAUGAGUGUUGUGGUAAGUUCCAUCUUUUAGAAGUUUAUAAGUAGAUUCAACAAUCAUUUGAUUGUUAUACAAUAAUGUGGUAAUUAUCAUUUGUUCUUAUUAAUUUCAUUAUUGUAUCAAUAUUUUACUAGUAUUUUAAUACCAUAAUAUUUUUUCAAUCUUUUGAUUGUUUUGCAUGAAUAAGUUCAACAACAACUUUUUUAUUGAAUAUCAUCAUAGAGAAACGUUAGCAUAAGUAGAUAUCCCAUGGUGUAGGGCGUUUAUGUCGCAACUUUUACUGUUAUCCCUAGCUGAUAGUUCACGUAGUUCUUGCCUAUGCAGC
rnacentral:misc_RNA from 1 species